rnacentral:lncRNA from 1 species
GCUACUCCAAGGAAGACUCGGAUACAGGGUGGCAAAGAUGGAGUCUGCAUUGUGUGCCGAGUACUAUCAAAUAAAUGGAAAUGAGUACACAGGGGCUUCAAGGAGAGGUGGGCAAGGGAGUCCAGCAUGCUGGUGGCACCUGCGAGCUGCAGCUGGGUACUACUUUGCCCAUGUUUGCAUCAGACAGGGUGAUGUCCUUCUCCUGAAGAGUGACUCAGACUCACCAAAAAAACUCUUAUAUUUUUGAUUUCCAGUUGCCUAAUGUCUUCCUGAUUUUGAGUCUUAACCACAGGAAAGACAAUGUCAUUCAUUAGCAACUUAUGCACAUAAUGAUCUCAGGCCUUCAGCCGAAUGAGAGACCCCAUUGACAGCAUUGACCCCAUUGACACCACUUGCCUUGUGAGCAUGAGCCUUGGAAGUAUGCCCCGGCUUCAGUGCGGAAGACAGAAGGGCUGAGUUCUAGGUCCCACUUUGCCCUGAGGUUUUAUGAGCCACUAAACUCCCACCUUGAUUUCCUCAACUCCAGGGCAGGCACAUUGCCAGCCAGCUUAACCAUAACACAGAAUUCUCCAAGAGAAGAACCAUCUCUUAGCCAGAGGCGCAGCCGAGCAGAGCUAGCAUGAACCUGUAGAGCUUAAAGGGGCUGGAGAAAUGGUUCAGUGGUUAAAACGGUUCCUGCUCUUCCAGAAAACCCAAAUUCAGUUCCUAGCACUUGCAUUGGGCAGCUCACAACCACCUAGGAUUCUAGCUCUGGAAAGUCUAACUCUCUCUUCUCACCUUGAGGGCACUACACUUAUGAGCACACACACACCCCCCCCCACACACACACACUCACACACACACAUACAGGUAACUUAAAAAUAAAAUAAAUGUAUAAAAAGAACCUUAAGAGGAGAAACAAAUCUUUAUUUUGUUAAAGCAUUUCAUCAUCAUCGUUAUCAUCAUCAUUAUUAUUGUUAUUAUUACUAUUAUAUUACAAUAUUGAGGUUCUGAACACAGGGCCUCAUGUACACUAGGCAAGUAUUCUAUUAUUGAGCUACAUACUCAGUCUCUUGAGUCUUAACUCUGAUCAGCAACCUGCUCACUUCUACGUCUUGAAGAAGCCAUUUCCCGAACCUUCCUCUCCAGCAAAAGAUAACACCUGUCCUAGGGCCCUGGAAUUAAAGAAGCAAGAGAGGUUUACUCAGGGAUUCUCCCUCCUUUCCUGGAGACAUACUGAAGGUGAUGUGCCCCUGGUGGUGGGAAGGAUACAGGGUUUUCAGGUAGACAGCCUUCAGGAUGGGCCCUACCUACAGUCUUCACCCACUGAGCACCCUGACUUUUGUAAGUGAAAGAAGGUUGGGGUGACUUCCAAGGGUCAUUCACAUGAGACAUAGCUGCUUUAGUUCCAGUUCUCUGGAUCAGUGGUUGUGGGAGAGAAGCUAGUCACCAUGUAGUGACAAUAGUCAAGCUGUCUGGAGAGUAUGCUUUAUGAACUGAGUCCUUCUGCCAAAGCCAGCACCAAUUGCCAGCUGUGUAAACGCCAUCUUAGGUAAAUCCUAAGGUUCGGUCAAGCCUCAGAGAAUAGAAGCCUGCGUGACACCUGGACCCGAAACACUUGGAACAGCUCAGCUACUUUUGACGGGCACCAUGCUGAGUGACUCACAGCUUCAGCUUUGUGGACCAGUUUUAACACAGGUCACUGAAGAAAGUACUGUAUGUGCCACACAGGUAGGCGCAGUGUCAUGCCCACAUGUGGCCGGCACACAGCUGCCUCCAAUAAUCACAAUGGUGGGAAGUCUGUGGGUGAUGAGUUCUGCCUUACUGGUUCUUUGUGCUUGUUUUUGCUGGUGAGAGUUGAGCUCAGGGCUAUGUGCAUGGUAAGCCAAUGCUCUGACACUGGCACAUAUCUCUAGCCCUUAACUAUUGCUUUAAGCUGCUAUGCUUUAGGGAUAAAUUGUUAUACAGCGAUAGGUGACCUUAGCAGAUGCAAACUCUGCCCUUUCAAAGCUGCUUUUAGAGCAGCGAUUCUCAACCUGUGGGUCCCAAUCACGUUUUUUUUGGGGGGGGGUCCCAUAAAUCAGACAUCCUGCAUAUCAGAUAUUUACAUUAUAAUUCAUAACAUUAUCAACAUUAUAGUUAUGAAGAAGCAACAAAAUAACUUUACAGCUGGAGGGGGGGUGUCACCACAAUAUGAGAAACAGUAUUAAAGGGUCGCAGCAUUUAGGAGGGUUGAGAGCCACUGUUUCAGAAGAAAUGAGAACGUGGGCAGAUGGCCAUGACAGGGAGGUGUAGUCAGAAACUAGUGUCCCCUAGCUUUCUGCAGGAAGCAGAUCAUCUCUGUUGUCACUGCUUGCAGAGACCUGGGAGGUGAGUAAGGGUCCUGAAAGCAGACUCCAUGGGAAGGGCUGUGCUUACGCUUGGGUGGUGUGAUUCCCAGGGUCUGUGGCAAGCAAGAAUGAGUUAGAGUGCUUGCUCACUUCUGAUGGGCACAGCAUAACACCGGACCCUGGGUGGACUGGCACACAGAUUUACAAAGACCCAGGGCUCCUGCUUUACUGUGCUUUUUAAGAGGAGGAAAUGGGCUCUUUUGCUCUCCUAACGGCCCCGGCUGCUCUCUGAUUUUCACAGGUAAUGGGGCAGGAAAUUGCCCACAGUGAAUGAGCGAGACCUGUUACCUGUGGGUGGAAAUGGGUAAUGAGAAUUUAAACCCAGGCACAUCACCGGAUCACAUUAGGGAGCCAGCUAGCAAAAAUGAUUAGGAGGGUUUUAAUAUGCGCCGAUUGGAUGGAUAUCCAUCCCUGCAGCGACCUCAGGCUCAUUAGCCUAGCGUCCUGCACAGGCAAUCAGUCAUUUGUGCUUGCGCAGUGGCCUCCAUCCCAGAACUCUCGAGGGGCGCCCAGGAUCUGGAUAUGGGGGAAAAAACCUAUACUAUUUGGCAUGGUGCACUCAGUUGUCCUUAAGUAUGAUUCAGAUGACCUGCCAGACCUGUCCUUCCGACCGGUCUAACCUUCCCACCUCUCUGAGCAAAUGAGCCUAGGGCUAAGCCACCAUUGUUAUACCUGCCCAUUUCUCUUUCUUGACUAUUAGGAGUUGGUGCACCCUCAUGGAUAAAGCACUGGACCCACAGUCAGAGCUUGAGGGCCCUGUAGCUGGCCCACUGCCUGCGAACAGGUUCCCUAGGCAUGUCUCUUCCAAGACCUCUUGUCUGGGCAAAUUCUCUUCUGGUUGUUGGUUGUUCACCACCUGUGAAAUGUCCCCACAUGUCCCAGAGUGAGCUCCUUUGUGUUGUCAGCUUGACAAAAAUCUGGAAUCACCUGGGAGCCAGACCUCUUAGUAUGUCUAUGGGAGAAGAUUGUGAUUGUGUUGAAGUGGGAAGAUCACCCACUGUGGGUGGCGUCAUCCCCUGGCUAGGAUCCUGGGCUGUGCAAUAGGGCAGCAGUAUAUUCAUCUCUCUCUGCUUCCUGUUGGAAAUGUGGUGUGACCAGCUGCUUCCAGCUUCCUCCAGCUUGAUGUCAUCCUUGACCUAUGAGCAUAAACCCAUUCUUAAGUUGCUUUGUCAGAAUAUUUUCUCUGCAAUGGUAACUCACCAUCUUCUCCAUUUGUGUUCAUUUGGGGGCUUUCUUUCUUACAUCUCCCCAGUCAAUGAUAGUAUCUUCUUUCUGAAAAUACUCAAUCCAAGAUUUUCUUUUUAAAGCAAAGAAAAAUGAGAAGGCAAAAGGAAGUCUGGGAUAGAGGCUGGAGAGAGGACUCCAGUUGGUAACGUGCUUUCUGUGCAAGCAUGAAGACCUCAGUUCGAUCCCCAGAACCCAUGUUUUUAAAAAGUCUGCUGUGAUGGUAUGGAUUUCUAAUCGCCGAGCUCGAGAAGCAGAGGCAGGCAGAUCCCUGGGGUUCUACUCCUACUCUGAGUUAAUGGCUCAGAGAACAAGCCAAUGCUUCCAAGGAACAGCCUAGGUUGUCCCGUAGUCUCUAAUGCAUGUAUAUGCAAAUGCAUACACACACCAGAGGAGGAGGAAGAGGAGGAGGAGAAGGAAGAGGAGGAGGAGAAAGAGGGAAGGUCUUGAUGUAUGUCCACCCCUGAUCCCUGUCUUACAUUUCCUACCCACUGUCUCUUUAUUCACUUUCUUAGACUCUGCUUUCCAUACCUCAUCUUUCUGUUUCCAAAUCACCAGGGGCUCUACUAAGCAUCAAAGUUCUUCAUAAAACCCCAGCCUGGCAGCCUAACCUCUGAGCUAACCUCCAACACAUAGCCUCAGCUGUGGCUGCCACCAACCCUCCUGUCCCCUCCUGUCUGUUUUGAACAAUUCCUGUGUCCCCUCCACCACCACCCCAGCUUCCUGUACUACCCCCCCUCGGGGGUCCUGCAGGCCCUUGUUCAGUUGUCCUCCUGAGACAUUAACCCUGCUUUAUACCCGUCCCUUCUUGUGUUGAGAGCCACUUCUCAUUUCAUUCGUUUUCCAGCACCUUCAUGGAGACUUGAAGCACUGUCACCCUUUCAGUGCUGGAGCCUGCCUAGUUCUGUUAACUAAACAGCUAAGGUUCCUUUUCAUCUGGUGACUCAAGGCAGGGUCUCUACCCUACAGGUCUUCCUCGAGAAGCAUUCUAGUAACUUUGAAUUCAUAGAUUUUAGAAGUAAGAAGAGCUCAGGGGUCCCUGUCUAGAUUCUCCAGAUGAAGAGCCAGGCUGUGUCCUCCCAACAUAUUCACAAGGCCUGACCAGAGGCGGCAAGCAACACCUGCUGCUUUCUGGAGCACAAACAGUCCAAACAAAACUCAUCCUAAAACGUCGUUAGCUGCAGGCAUAAGCACAGCUGGACUUGGAUCAUUUGCCAUUGGCCUUUGGACACGGCGUUUAACCUACAUUUGGGUGUUCAUGUAAUGUCUUGCUCUUGCUCCUGUCUGUCUCUGGUUUAGUUUUGUCUGCAGAGCUUCAGUGGCUCCAGUGGCUCCAGGCUUAGACAAGAAGGGCAAACGAAUAGUAGCUUACACCUGACCCCAGAGCCCAACAAAUCUAUGCUCCCCAGCAAUGCCCACUUUUAAGAGAGGGCACAGUGAGACCAUUGAACUGAACCAUUCUUUGGAUAGAAAAAGCAGUUCAGUGGAGGAACAAAUUACCUAGCCUGCCUUGAGAAUAGAGAACAGACGCUUGGAGCAAAGGCAAGGAGAUUUUCCAUGGUAGCAAGGUGAGGGAUCUUGGCUGAUGCAGAUUGUUUACAUUAACCGGGAACUAGAUACCCUGGCAGGAUGCAAUUGACCAUUGGGGCAUAUAAGGGAAGUAAUGCUUUUCUUGGUAAACAGAAGUCCACCUUAAGAGAUGCCCAAUGAAUGUUGACUUUGGGCUCCAUUACCCAAUAGCAAUUGUGUUUACCUGGUCAGAGUCCUGUGUAGGACACUGUCACCAGCAUUAUCAUUUUGGGGGUUCACUUUCACUUCUCACGGACCUCCUCCCCCUAUUGCCCUCCCCUCCUCUGUUGCCCUUGGCCAGCCAGCUCAGAUCCUGCCUGUUUACAGUUUACAGUUUAGUUAGGGAAAACUCAGGCUGUUUGGCCUCUUCCUCCACAAGCUGGUUGAGGCUGGGGUCCCUUCCAACAGGAUAUCCAUAGAGAGCCCAGGGUUGAGAUCCAGUAGGGACUACAACCUUCUGGAAGACCUCAAGAUGAUGGGGAAGCCACAGAGGGCAGCAUACCUGGGCACAUCCCUCCCCAAAAGACAGCUUCCUGGCCCCAGCUCCAUCACUAUUAAGCAGCCUCCAGACUUCCAUACCAAGGCCCUUCUUGUCCCUGCUCCUGCCCCUACUAGUUCUGCUGUGUAUCUUCAGUGCCUCCUGUGGGGAUAGAAGAUGCCCUGUUUGCAGAUACGAGGGGGACACAAAUCUGUGAACAGGGACCAAGAGGAGGGUCUAGGCGUAUUGAAACCUAGAAGUGCUUUCCUGGGGGAGGGGGUCCCAGCACAUCCCCGAGCUGCUUUCAGGCUGGCGGCUGGGAGCUCGGCACACUAGCUCCAAGGGUCUUUAUUCUGAUUAAAAUGGCUGUCCAUGACUAAUGCAUGGUGUGAAAGGCACUGGAUACAGUCUGAAACAGCGCCCAACUUCCAGAAACACGAAAGGCUAUCAAUUAUUGAUCCUCAGGCCUGAGACGUUGCUCCAUGGGAAGGAGCAGCCCCGGGAUCAUAUUCUAUGCGCAGCUCCCAAACCCUCCAGAAACACUGACUACUCUGUGGGAUGGACCAGAGCAGGAGGCAAGCUCGGCAGUGCCCGCAAGGGUCUACUUCCCGUGCCCCUCGCAAGAGUUAGAUCCCUAGCUAGAGACCUGUCUAAAGCCAAAUUAUCGUUUUUAUUUUUUUAACAGAAUUGUCAUUGACUAAAAGGAGCACCCACCAAGCAGCUACCCAACCUUCCUAAUGGAAGCACCUCAUUAAAUUUCCAUUGUAACUCCGCCCAGGUUUUGAGAUCAAGAAAAACUGGGUGCUGGAAAGGGAGCAGACACCACCCUGUCCUUAUUUAUGACGCAGAGUGUUUUAUGUAUACGAGAAGCCAGCCAUAAUUUGCUUAUAAAUAAUUGACUUCUCCUAGAUUGAAAUCUCUAGCGGGGCUCCGGGUGUAUUCGCAAGCCGGCGCUUCUGCCCACGAAGUGCAUUAGGCCCUUUCAAACCUGUCUUACCUCAGCCCCCAACGCACGAAGAGUGAUUUCCCCCCCUUCAUCCCCUGUAAUAACCUUCAACUAACCUUUAAACUGGAGUGAAUAAUUUAAAUCUUAUUUUCAUAUCAAUGGAGGAGUCAAGCCAAGCAAUUAUCUUUUAUCUGUGUACUCUGUCGUCAGGGCGGCGGGCAUAAUCAAGUUUUCCCCAGCGAGCCAGAUGAGAGAGAGGACUAAGGAAGUGAGAGAUGUUAUCUGAAGACAUUAACGCAACAAUGAAUUAUUCAAUAAUGAGUACAAGAUCUGUCAUAACACACAGGCGCAACCACACACACACACACACACACACACACAGGCUCUACAUCUGCCGAGUGUUCCAGGCAGACUAGGGCUGGCAGCCUGGGGGAGGGGUGGCAGUUAGGGGUCUGGGCUAAGCAUGACAAAUCGGCUGAUGAUCUGCUCAAUUAGGGCAGAGAGCAGGUGUGCCUGUCAGGAGGGUGCGUGGGGCAGGAGGGCUGUGUGGUGGGCCAAACAACACAGAGAGGGAAAGACUUAUCGUUCAUGUAACAGUCAUUUAGAGUCGCUCGGUCUAUGAUUUUUUUUUUCAAAAGGGGUGGGCCAGCAAGGAGGGAGAAGGAAAGAAUUUUUUUUUUAGAAAAAAAUAAUAAUAAUAAAAAGCAAGGGAAGGUUGAAAUUCCCCACAGUGCUCAUUAAAAUUCUACUGCAUGCGAUUCUUCCCUGGGUCCCCCUGGACUGCCCGUGAUCAUUUUUAUUAAUUCAUAAAAUAUCGCACCAGAGAUUGAGGCUGAUGAUUAGUGGAGCCGACAGAGGGGCUGCUGUGGUUUCUAUCGGAUCUCAGCGAGUGAAAUCCACCCUCCUACUGUUUCUUGGGCAGCCAAGCUGGGCUGGGAGGGACAGACCAAGGGACCCAUGUGUCUAGCUGCUUGUCACAGGCUGUCUCCCUGGCUUUGGCAGAUACGUCCUGGCCCUGUCUCUCAGUUCUGGGGAAAGCCCUCCUUGAGGCAGGUUGUCCCUUAACCUUCCUGGGACAUGCGCUGUGUGGCAACCUGGAGAAGCAGACAGAGGUGUUCGAAUGAGCUCACCUGGCUGGGAAGGUGCCGGAACUUUGAACCAGGACUCCAGGACACGUCCAGACUCUUCUGGGAUCGCCCAUGUUGCCAUCUCUUCCUCUUCCCAGAAAUCUAGUGGGUGGCUGUGGACCAAUUCCAUCUCAAGCUACCUGUGUCACUGCUGCCAGGCGCAGCUCACGUGGACACCAGGCUUGCUCCACAUGCA